rnacentral:lncRNA from 1 species
CUGACACAUAUCAAAUGUCAAGAUCUUACAAAUCUAAUACACAAUACUGUGCAAUUAAAGAUUUCUUCUUGAAACUUUUCAAAAAUUUGUUUGAAAUUUGAGAAAUUUUGAAAAACAAAUGGGGAAUGUGUCCAUAUUGACACAGAUGAUGCCCCUGCUAGCAUAUGUCAUUAUAAAGGGACAUAACUCAAGAACUGCAAAAGUGAAGCUGCCA